UACGUAGGCAGCGAGCGUUGUUCGGAGUUACUGGGCGUAAAGAGUGCGUAGGCGGUGCUCUAAGUUUGGUGUGAAAUCUCCCGGCUCAACUGGGAGGGUGCGCCGAAAACUGGAGUGCUCGAGUAUGGGAGGGUAAGCGGAAUUCCUGGUGUAGCGGUGAAAUGCGCAGACUAUCAGGAAGGAACACCAUGGCGAAGGCAGCUCGCUGGGACGGUACUGACGCUGGAGGCGCGAAAGCCGUGGGGAGCGAACAGG
rnacentral:rRNA from 1 species